GAUACCCUGGUAGUCCACGCUGUAAACGAUGUCGACUUGGAGGUUGUUCCCUUGAGGAGUGGCUUCCGGAGCUAACGCGUUAAGUCGACCGCCUGGGGAGUACGGCCGCAAGGUUAAAACUCAAAUGAAUUGACGGGGGCCCGCACAAGCGGUGGAGCAUGUGGUUUAAUUCGAUGCAACGCGAAGAACCUUACCUACUCUUGACAUCCAGAGAACUUAGCAGAGAUGCUUUGGUGCCUUCGGGAACUCUGAGACAGGUGCUGCAUGGCUGUCGUCAGCUCGUGUUGUGAAAUGUUGGGUUAAGUCCCGCAACGAGCGCAACCCUUAUCCUUUGUUGCCAGCGGUUCGGCCGGGAACUCAAAGGAGACUGCCAGUGAUAAACUGGAGGAAGGUGGGGAUGACGUCAAGUCAUCAUGGCCCUUACGAGUAGGGCUACACACGUGCUACAAUGGCAUAUACAAAGAGAAGCGACCUCGCGAGAGCAAGCGGACCUCAUAAAGUAUGUCGUAGUCCGGAUCGGAGUCUGCAACUCGACUCCGUGAAGUCGGAAUCGCUAGUAAUCGUGGAUCAGAAUGCCACGGUGAAUACGUUCCCGGGCCUUGUACACACCGCCCGUCACACCAUGGGAGUGGGUUGCAAAAGAAGUAGGUAGC
rnacentral:rRNA from 1 species